AUUGAACGCUGGCGGCAUGCCUUACACAUGCAAGUCGAACGGCAGCGCGGGGGCAACCCUGGCGGCGAGUGGCGAACGGGUGAGUAAUAUAUCGGAACGUGCCCUAGAGUGGGGGAUAACGUAGCGAAAGUUACGCUAAUACCGCAUACGAUCUAAGGAUGAAAGUGGGGGAUCGCAAGACCUCAUGCUCGUGGAGCGGCCGAUAUCUGAUUAGCUAGUUGGUGGGGUAAAAGCUCACCAAGGCGACGAUCAGUAGCUGGUCUGAGAGGACGACCAGCCACACUGGGACUGAGACACGGCCCAGACUCCUACGGGAGGCAGCAGUGGGGAAUUUUGGACAAUGGGGGCAACCCUGAUCCAGCAAUGCCGCGUGUGUGAAGAAGGCCUUCGGGUUGUAAAGCACUUUUGUCAGGAACGAAACGGACUGAGUUAAUACCUUGGUCUAAUGACGGUACCUGAAGAAUAAGCACCGGCUAACUACGUGCCAGCAGCCGCGGUAAUACGUAGGGUGCAAGCGUUAAUCGGAAUUACUGGGCGUAAAGCGUGCGCAGGCGGUUAUGUAAGACAGAUGUGAAAUGCCCGGGCUUAACCUGGGAACUGCAUUUGUGACUGCAU
rnacentral:rRNA from 1 species